AAGUCGUAACAAGGUUUCCGUAGGUGAACCUGCGGAAGGAUCAUUAACACUUUUCUUUAACUACUAUCAAUAUACCAACGCGCAUCGUAGAGCCUCUCAUUGCCGGGGGUCGACUAGGAAAUGGUUGGAAUGUCGUCCUAGCCUGCUGUUGAAGUUAGCCCGUCGAACUCCUCGUGGGAACGGCGACCGGUCUAACGCCCCGUCGUUGUGAGGUAUGACAGCCUCGACCAUGGCUGACCCAUUAUUAACUUUUUGAUUUUUGUACUGAUUUGGGCUAUGGAUCGAGAGGAGUAACGGUUACUGUAACUGUUACUCCUUUCUCUAUGGCUGUUGAUCGACGGUCUCGACUGUCGACUCAAUCAAAACCAAAACACAACUCUUAACAGCGGAUAUCUCGGUUCUC
rnacentral:misc_RNA from 1 species